UUAAGAAUGGCAUAGUGGUUAGAGCGUUGGACUAUGGCUCUGGAGCCAGGGUUUGAUUCCCAGCUUGGCAA